rnacentral:rRNA from 1 species
CCUANGGGGGGCUGCAGUCGAGAAUAUUCCACAAUGGACGAAAGUCUGAUGGAGCGACGCCGCGUGCGGGAUGAAGGCCCUUGGGUUGUAAACCGCUUUUCUACUUGAAAAAUUUUGUGAUGGUAAAGUAGGAAUAAGAGGUUACUAACUCUGUGCCAGCAGUAGCGGUAAUACAGAGACCUCAAGCGUUAUCCGGAUUUAUUGGGCGUAAAGAGCAUGUAGGCGGAUAUAUUAGUCAGAUGUCAAAUCUUCGAGCUCAACUCGAAAACUGCAUUUGAAACGGUAUAUCUUGAGAAAGUGAGAGACCAGUGGAACAUAUGGUGUAGCAGUGAAAUGCGUUGAUAUCAUAUGGAACACCAAAGGCGAAGGCAUCUGGUUGGCACUUUUCUGACGCUGAGAUGCGAAAGCGUGGGUAGCGAAAAGGAUUAGAUACCCCANUANUC